rnacentral:rRNA from 1 species
CUACGGGGGGCAGCAGUGGGGAAUAUUGGACAAUGGGCGAAAGCCUGAUCCAGCCAUGCCGCGUGUGUGAAGAAGGCCUUCGGGUUGUAAAGCACUUUCAGUGGGGAAGAAAGCCUUGGGGCUAAUACCCUCGAGGAAGGACAUCACCCACAGAAGAAGCACCGGCUAACUCCGUGCCAGCAGCCGCGGUAAUACGGAGGGGUGCGAGCGUUAAUCGGAAUUACUGGGCGUAAAGCGCGCGUAGGCGGUCUGAUAAGCCGGUUGUGAAAGCCCCGGGCUCAACCUGGGAACGGCAUCCGGAACUGUCAGGCUAGAGUGCAGGAGAGGAAGGUAGAAUUCCCGGUGUAGCGGUGAAAUGCGUAGAGAUCGGGAGGAAUACCAGUGGCGAAGGCGGCCUUCUGGACUGACACUGACGCUGAGGUGCGAAAGCGUGGGUAGCAAACAGGAUUAGAUACCCGUGUAGUC